rnacentral:lncRNA from 1 species
GGCAAACAGCGCAGGUCCGCUUCCCGUCUGUGGAAGCUUUGUUCUUUCGCUCUUGACAAUAAAUCUUAAUGCUGCUCUCUCUUUGGGUCCAUGCCAUCUUUAAGAGCUGUGACACUUACAGCCAAGGUCCGGGGCUCCAUUCUUGAAGUCAGCGAGACCACGAAUCCACCGGAAGGAGCAAACUCUGGACAUGGCAUGUGCUUUUGCAGGAAGGACGCUGGACUCUUGCACUAUAAGUUGAAAACAUCGCUUAUAAACAAUACAUCACAGCACACUUGCAGAGAGAGCACUGGUUCAUCAAAAUAAGAUAUGAUCAAGGUACAAAAGAGUUAAAGAAGCUAUUUAUUUUAAUGUUUCCUUGGAGAGCACACUUGUUAUUGUAUGUAUGCAAAAGAUGAUCUUACUCUUGAGAGCCACUAGAACUCUUUGAAGAAAAAAAAAUGCUAUUUGCUAUAGGGAAAUCUUUCUGGAAAAGUAAUAAUUUCACCUUUGAGUCAGCUUCCCUGGACUCUUGCCUCAUACAUCUUCAGCCAAGAUGCCUGCCCCAGCUUUGCCUUCCACCAUGAGUAAAAGCUUCCCAAGUCCUCCCCAGAAGCAGAUGCUGGCGCUAUGCUUCUGGUACAGCCUGAAAAACCUUGAGCCAAUUAAACCUCAGUGAGCUCAAGAUGUCUUUGUUGAAACAGAACCUCCCGAAGUUACAGUAUUGGUUUUGGGGCUCCACACAGAGAACACAUCACGGAAGCUAUAAUUGAGGAAGACAAAGCUGUCAGGACGACACCAAGAGAGUUAGAAAGCCCAAGAGUGGAGCAUUCUUCACCAUGAUUCCACCUGACACUUGGCUGAAAGCAUUUUGCACUAAUUUGCUUUGUGCCCGUUCAGACAAUCUAAAAAGAAAGGAUGGGGGGACAACAAGUGUCUAUUACACAGAAUAAACAGCCUCUGGCAAAUGAAUACA